UACGUAGGGUGCAAGCGUUAAUCGGAAUUACUGGGCGUAAAGCGUGCGCUAGGCGGUUUUGUAAGUCUGUCGUGAAAUCCCCGGGCUCAACCUGGGAAUUGCGAUGGAGACUGCAAGGCUAGAAUCUGGCAGAGGGGGGUAGAAUUCCACGUGUAGCAGUGAAAUGCGUAGAGAUGUGGAGGAACACCGAUGGCGAAGGCAGCCCCCUGGGUCAAGAUUGACGCUCAUGCAC
rnacentral:rRNA from 1 species